AAAAAAACAAACCCUGGGUUUCCGUGUCCAACUUUGACUGUCUGUCUUAUAUAAAAUUUUUUUAUAAUUCAUAUUUUCAUUGUUGUUACAUGGUAAAACAUGAUUAAUAUUUUAUGUGUGACUUGUCUUUUUAAAUUUUUUACAUGAUUAAUAUUUUAUGUGUGACUUGUCUUUUUAAAAUUUUUUAUAAAUUUUUUAAAUAAGACGGACGGUCAAAACGUUGGUCACAGAAACUAGGGUUUGUCUUUUC
rnacentral:pre_miRNA from 1 species